rnacentral:rRNA from 1 species
AGUGAACGCUGGCGGUAGGCCUAACACAUGCAAGUCGAACGGCAGCACAGGAGAGCUUGCUCUCUGGGUGGCGAGUGGCGGACGGGUGAGGAAUACAUCGGAAUCUACUCUGUCGUGGGGGAUAACGUAGGGAAACUUACGCUAAUACCGCAUACGACAUACGGGUGAAAGCAGGGGAUCUUCGGACCUUGCGCGAUUGAAUGAGCCGAUGUCGGAGUAGCUAGUUGGCGGGGUAAAGGCCCACAAAGGCGACGAUCCGUAGCUGCUCUGAGAGGAGGAUCAGCCACACUGGAACUGAGACACGGUCCAAACUCCUACGGGAGGCAGCAGUGGGGAAUAUUGGACAAUGGGCGCAAGCCUGAUCCAGCCAUACCGCGUGGGUGAAGAAGGCCUUCGGGUUGUAAAGCCCUUUUGUUGGGAAAGAAAUCCAGCUGGCUAAUACCCGGUUGGGAUGACGGUACCCAAAGAAUAAGCACCGGCUAACUUCGUGCCAGCAGCCGCCGUAA